rnacentral:rRNA from 1 species
AUUGAACGCUGGCGGCAGGCCUAACACAUGCAAGUCGAACGGUAACAGGAAGAAGCUUGCUUCUUUGCUGACGAGUGGCGGACGGGUGAGUAAUGUCUGGGAAACUGCCUAAUGGAGGGGGAUAACUACUGGAAACGGUAGCUAAUACCGCAUAACGUCGCAAGACCAAAGAGGGGGACCUUCUGGCCUCUUGCCAUCGGAUGUGCCCAGAUGGGAUUAGCUUGUUGGUGGGGUAACGGCUCACCAAGGCGACGAUCCCUAGCUGGUCUGAGAGGAUGACCAGCCACACUGGAACUGAGACACGGUCCAGACUCCUACGGGAGGCAGCAGUGGGGAAUAUUGCACAAUGGGCGCAAGCCUGAUGCAGCCAUGCCGCGUGUAUGAAGAAGGCCUUCGGGUUGUAAAGUACUUUCAGCGGGGAGGAAGGGAGUAAAGUUAAUACCUUUGCUCAUUGACGUUACCCGCAGAAGAAGCACCGGCUAACUCCGUG